AAAUCCUUGUAACUUUUCCAUAUAAAAUUGGAACGAUACAGAGAAGAUUAGCAUGACCCUUGCACAAGGACGACACGCAAAUUUGUGAAGCAUUCCAUGAGCUG